ensembl:snoRNA SNORD42 Small nucleolar RNA SNORD42
AAACAAAUGAUGAAAAAAAUCAGUAUUUGAAUAAGAAUGACAUUAACCAAGAAAUCACUGAUGUGC